rnacentral:rRNA from 1 species
UACGGAGGGAGCUAGCGUUGUUCGGAAUUACUGGGCGUAAAGCGCGCGUAGGCGGCUUUGUAAGUUAGAGGUGAAAGCCCGGGGCUCAACCCCGGAAUUGCCUUUAAGACUGCAUCGCUUGAAUCCGGGAGAGGUGAGUGGAAUUCAGAGUGUAGAGGUGAAAUUCGUAGAUAUUCGGAAGAACACCAGUGGCGAAGGCGGCUCACUGGACCGGCAUUGACGCUGAGGUGCGAAAGCGUGGGGAGCAAACAGG